rnacentral:rRNA from 1 species
GUGCCAGCCGCCGCGGUAAUACGGAGGGUGCGAGCGUUGUCCGGAAUCACUGGGCGUAAAGGGCGCGUAGGUGGUCUGCUAAGCGUGUGGUGAAAGCUCGGGGCUCAACCCUGAGUCGGCCCUGCGAACUGGCGGACUGGAGCACUGUAGAGGCAGGUGGAAUUCCGGGUGUAGCGGUGGAAUGCGUAGAGAUCCGGAAGAACACCGGUGGCGAAGGCGGCCUGCUGGGCAGUUGCUGACACUGAGGCGCGACAGCGUGGGGAGCAAACAGGAUUAGAUACCCUGGUAGUCC